GAUCAUGGCUCAGGAUGAACGCUAGCUACAGGCUUAACACAUGCAAGUCGAGGGGAAACGACAUCGAAAGCUUGCUUUUGAUGGGCGUCGACCGGCGCGACGGGUGAGUAACGCGUAUCCAACCUGCCCAUCACUUGGGAAUAACCUUGCGAAAGUAAGACUAAUGCCCAAUGACAUCCCACGAAGGCAUCCGAAUGGGAUUAAAGAUUUAUCGGUGAUUGGAUGGGGAUGCGU
rnacentral:rRNA from 1 species